rnacentral:rRNA from 1 species
CCUACGGGAGACAGCAGUGGGGAAUAUUGCGCAAUGGGCGAAAGCCUGAACCAGCCAAGUAGCGUGAAGGAUGACUGCCCUAUGGGUUGUAAACUUCUUUUAUAUGGGAAUAAAGUGAAGUAUGUAUACUGCUUUGCAUGUACCUUAUGAAUAAGGAUUGGCUAACUCCGUGCCAGCAGCCGCGGUAAUACGGAGGAUUCGAGCGUUAUCCGGAUUUAUUGGGUUUAAAGGGAGCGUAGGCGGGUUGUUAAGUCAGUUGUGAAAGUUUGCGGCUCAACCGUAAAAUUGCAGUUGAUACUGGCAGCCUUGAGUACAGUUGAGGUAGGCGGAAUUCGUGGUGUAGCGGUGAAAUGCUUAGAUAUCACGAAGAACUCCGAUUGCGAAGGCAGCCUACUAAACUGUAACUGACACUGAUGCUCGAAAGUGUGGGUAUCAAACAGGAUUAGAUACCCGUGUAGUC